CUUAUGAUGACAAUUUAAUCCAGCUCACUCUGAAAACUGUGAUGAGCAUUUUAUUCACGACAGUCUUCUGACA
rnacentral:snoRNA from 14 species